CCACAUUCGGUGGGGAUUAGUGGCGAACGGGUGAGUAACACGUGGGCAAUCUGCCCUGCACUCUGGGACAAGCCCUGGAAACGGGGUCUAAUACCGGAUACUGACCCGCUUGGGCAUCUUGGCUGUUCGAAAGCUCCGGCGGUGCAGGAUGAGCCCGCGGCCUAUCAGCUAGUUGGUGAGGUAAUGGCUCACCAAGGCGACGACGGGUAGCCGGCCUGAGAGGGCGACCGGCCACACUGGGACUGAGACACGGCCCAGACUCCUACGGGAGGCAGCAGUGGGGAAUAUUGCACAAUGGGCGAAAGCCUGAUGCAGCGACGCCGCGUGAGGGAUGACGGCCUUCGGGUUGUAAACCUCUUUCAGCAGGGAAGAAGCGAAAGUGACGGUACCUGCAGAAGAAGCGCCGGCUAACUACGUGCCAGCAGCCGCGGUAAUACGUAGGGCGCGAGCGUUGUCCGGAAUUAUUGGGCGUAAAGAGCUCGUAGGCGGCUUGUCACGUCGGUUGUGA
rnacentral:rRNA from 1 species